rnacentral:pre_miRNA from 8 species
UCAGCCUGUGGCACUCAAACUGUGGGGGCACUUUCUGCUCUCUGGUGAAAAAAGUGCCGCCAUGUUUUGAGUGUUACCGAUUGA